UACGAGGGGUGCAAGCGUUAUUCGGAAUCAUUGGGCGUAAAGGGUGCGUAGACGGCAUAUUAAGUCACUUGUUAAAUAUCUCGGCCUAACCGAGAACAUGCGGGUGAUACUGGUAAGCUAGAGGGUGGAAGAGAGAAGUGGAAUUCUCGGAGUAGCGGUAAAAUGCGUAGAUCUCGAGAGGAACACCGAUGGCGAAGGCAGCUUCUUGGUCCACACCUGACGUUGAGGCACGAAAGCGUGGGGAGCAAACAGGAUUAGAUACCCUGGUAGUCCACGCUGUAAACGAUGAUCACUAGAUGUUAGUUUCGUUUUACGAGAUUAGUGUCGUAGCUAACGCGAUAAGUGAUCCGCCUGGGGAGUACGGUCGCAAGACUAAA
rnacentral:rRNA from 1 species